CAAGAGGUUGUGAAUCUGCAUGGGGUACUAGUUUCAAUUAUUUUUUAUCGUGACACACAGUUUAUGUCUAACUUCUUGUGAUUUUUUCAGAGAGGGUUGGGGACCAAUGUGAGUUUGAGUACUGUUUUUCAUCUGUAGACGAAUAGGAAGACAGAGAGAACUAUUUAGACAUUGGAGGAUAUGCUUCGAGUCUGUGCAAUUGAUUAUGGUGGCAAU
rnacentral:lncRNA from 1 species